CCACUUUAUCAUGUUUUAUAAUGGUUAAUAUUUUUCAUUCAUCAUUGAUAUGAUAUUUGGGGGGGUUGUACUAAAGGCUGGUUUUGAUUAUUGGGGGGAUUAACCUCCACCCCCCACCCCUGAAUUUACACCUAUGCAGCUUUGGCCUCUUGCUGGAGUUUCCGGUCUUCCUCUAAAAAUUGAAAAGAUGACAGUGAUGUAAAUGAUUUGAUGAAUCUGGUGCAUCUUGAUUCAUGGCAGAUGGUCUCUCCAGCGACAUUGAUUACAGCCAAGGCCAGUGCUUCGCGGCCAGCCUGUUACGUUGCCAUGGAAAUGAGCCUACCGCUUAGGAGCCGCCGAGAAACCAAACACCCUCCAAUCAAUAAGCUUCUUGAAUAAUGGGGCAGUAGACACACACAAAACACAGACACAGACACACACACACACCCUUGCACAGCAGUCUCAGUGCGACUCUGAAGUUUCAUCAAUAAGUAGAUAGCUGCACAAAUUCAGCUACUUAUUUAAACAGAGUACAGUGUGCAGAAAGAGUCUUUUGAAACCCACUGAGACAUUUAACUGAGAGCUGGAGAAAGUGAAGGUGUCAUGGCAGUUGGCAAACUGCUGAAGAAGGAGAUCUGGAGUGUGACUAUCAUUGGACACAGUCUCAGAGUCUGAAAUACUGAAUACUAUUGUGGACAUGAAUAAUGUGACGAUUAGUUUCCUCUGCCAUUGGAUUAUGUGGCAAUAAUAUUAAAAGGACACACCACUUACUUGCUUGUUACAUGAAAAGACAAUGGUUAUUUUUUGUUAUUUUUAAGUAGGAUUUUUGUCAAGAUAUCAAGGUUAGUGUUAAUUUUAGGGAGCUAAAACAGCUUUGUAAAGUUUUUAGAACCCAACAUCACUGAUAGUACAUACAUGGACUGUAUAGUACUUGAAUUUUAUUUUUUUCAGAUGUUCACCUCCCUGGUUGGGUUAUAUACUGGUGUGUGUAUAGUGUAUGCAGCAUAUGGGUGUGGUAACGAUGUUUUAAACCAUUUUAAAGUGGUAAUGAACCAACUGGUGUCAAAACAUUGUCUAUGGAAAUAAAGUUCUGGUUUUUA